GUGUCUGACACGGCGAGACCGCGGACGGCUCAUUAAAUCAGUCGUGGUCCAUAUGGGCCAGUGUUGAUCCUACUUGGACAACUGUGGUAAUUCCAGAGCUAAUACAUGCAACUCUUAUCCUGAAGGAGCGUCAUGCUCUCUGACGGAUGCUUUUAUUAGACCAAACCGCUGGGUGCGUGGUGCUUCACUUCGGUGUUCCCACGUUUGACUCGUGUGAUGGUGACUCUGAAUAACAUUUUUCUUGACAAGCGCAAGUACCCCUCUUAUGAGUUGGGACGGCGCUACCACUUUCGAGUGUCUGACUUAUCAGCUAUCAACCGUUCGUUAUGUGCGACCGAUGGCUUUGACGGGUAACGGGGAAUCAGAGUUCGAUUCCGGAGAGGCAGCCUGAGAGACGGCUACCACGUCCAAGGACGGCAGCAGGCACGCAAAUUACCCAAUCCCAGCACCUGGGGGAGGUAGUGACGAAAUCUAACGAUGCGGGCGCCCUUUCUGGGGCCCCGCAAUCGGAAUGGCCACUUUCUAAAAAACCUGUUGAGAACCUACUGAAGGGCAAGUCUGGUGCCAGCAGCCGCGGUAAUUCCAGCUUCAGUAGCAUCUAUUAAAGUUGCUGCGGUUAAAAGGCUCGCAGUUGAAUGUCAGUACCGAGCGCAGGUCAGGUGGACGCUGGGGCGUGGGAAUACAAGGCGUGCGUUUUCGUGUUUUCUUUUUCUCGCGCGUGCGCUUUCACAUAUUGAGUGCGUGUUUCGCGCGUACGAGAUUGUGUCGUUGUGUGUGAGUGACAAGCCUCCUCGCUUGUGUACAUAUCUGGAAUCGUUUCAUAUAAUGGAGUGAUGUGUAUCGCGCGCGCGUUAGUGGGUUUGCGUAUCGUGGUGCGCGUGUUUAGUGCCGGCCCUGUGCUUGUACGGCGCGUGUGUUGCGUGCGUUUCUCGCGCGCGCGUUGCGGCAUGUCGUAAGCUCCUUCGGUUUUACAGUCACCUUGAGUAAAUCAGAGUGCUCAAAGCAGUCGUGAGGGCCUUGUGCCCUGUGAACAGUCUUGACGGACUGACUUGGUUUUGCAUGGCAUGUCGGAAGACGACGUCGUGUGCUGGCUCAGAGAUGUAAUCAGUGGUACAAGCCAGCCUCGACGUACUGAUUAAAAGGUUCGGUCGAGGGCAUUGGUAUUGCGGGGCGAGAGGUGAAAUUCUAUGACCCCCGCAAGACCUCCUGAAGCGAAAGCGUCUGCCAAGGACGUUCUCACUAAUCAUGAACGAAAGUUAGAGGAUCGAAGGCGAUCAGAUACCGCCCUAGUUCUAACCGUAAACGAUGCCAACCAUCAAUCCGCGCGUAGCACCCUUCUUAACGGGCUCGGCGGGCAGCUCCCCACUCACGGGAAACCAGAGUCUCUGGGUUCCGGGGGGAGUCUGGUUGCAAAGCUGAAACUUAAAGGAAUUGACGGAAAGGCACCACCAGGCGUGGAGCCUGCGGCUUAAUUUGACUCAACACGGGUCUUGAAUGAUUGACAGAUUGAGAGCUCUUUCUCGAUUCAGUGGAUGGUGGUGCAUGGCCGUUCUUAGUUGGUGGAGUGAUCUGUCUGGUUAAUUCCGAUAACGAACGAGACUCUCCCCUGCUAACUAGUCGGUUGGAUCUUGUGUUAUGCGAGUUGUGUGCCGGGAACACCCGAUGUUGGAUGCGCGCUGUUGUUGGGGCGGCGGCGGAGGUGUUUGUGUCGUGUGGUGGUUAGCUCACGCUGCUGCUGCCUUUGCAUCACCUCUUCGUUUAGCUCCUCACUCGUGCUCCUUCGUUCGGGCCCCGGGCCACACACUCCAAGUCCGCCGCUUAUGCUAUAACUCUUCUUAGAGGGAUUCACGGUACUGAAGCCGUAAGAGACUGAGAGCAAUAACAGGUCUGUGAUGCCCUUAGAUGCUCUGGGCCGCACGCGCGCUACAAUGCCGGGCACAGCAGGUAGUUCUCCUGCUCCGACAGGAGCGGGUAACCCUCUGAAAGCCCUUUGUUUAUUUUGUCGUGUCUCGCUCGUGGGCUACUGCGCUGUGGGGGCGUGCUGCUUUACGGUGGUGCGUUCGUACGGUGUGUGUUUCGCGUUGUGAGAUGCGAACGGCGUGAUGGGGCCUGGGACUUGCAAUUUUUUCCCACAAACGAGGAAUGCCUAGUAGCGGCGGGUCACUGAGCCCACCGUGACUCAGUCCCUGCCCUUUGUACACACCGCCCGUCGCUACUACCGAUUGGGUGUACCAGUGAGAGCCUUGGACUGGCGUCCGUUGUUACCUUCGGGUAAG
rnacentral:rRNA from 1 species